rnacentral:rRNA from 1 species
GACUAACGCUGGCGGCGUGCUUAACCCCUGCAAGUCGAACGGAAAGGCUCCAGCUUGCUGGGGUACACGAGUGGCUAACGGGUGAGUAACACGUGGGUGACCUGCCCUGCACUUCCGGAUAAGCCUGGGAAACUGGGUCUAAUACCGGAUAGGACCGCACCGUGAGGGUGUGGUGGAAAGUUUUUUUGCUGUGGGAUGGGCCCUCGGCCCUUUCUCCUUGUUGGGGGGGUAUUGCCCUGCCUUUGGUGGUUACUGGUACUCGGGCUGGGAUGG